UGGGGGAUAUUGCACAAUGGGCGAAAGCCUGAUGCAGCGACGCCGCGUGGGGGAUGAAGGCUUUCGGGUUGUAAACCUCUUUCGCUAUCGAACAAGGCCCGCUUAGGGUGGGUUGAGGGUAGGUGGAGAAGAAGCGCCGGCUAACUACGUGCCAGCAGCCGCGGUAAUACGUAGGGCGCGAGCGUUGUCCGGUAUUAUUGGGCGUAAAGGGCUUGUAGGCGGCUUGUUGCGCCUGCUGUGAAAACGCGGGGCUUAACUUCGCGCGUGCAGUGGGUACGGGCAGGCUUGAGUGUGGUAGGGGUGACUGGAAUUCCAGGUGUAGCGGUGGAAUGCGCAGAUAUAUGGAGGAACACCGAUGGCGAAGGCAGGUCACUGGGCCAUUACUGACGCUGAGGAGCGAAAGCAUGGGUAGAGAACAGG
rnacentral:rRNA from 1 species